AUACGUAGGGGGCAAGCGCUAUCCGGAAUUACUGGGCUAAAGGGUGCGUAGGUGGCCUGACAAGUCAGGGGUCAAAGGCAACGGCUCAACCGUUGUAAGCCCUUGAAACUGUCGGGCUUGAGUUCAGGAGAGGAAAGCGGAAUUCCUAGUGUAGCGGUGAAAUGCGUAGAUAUUAGGAGGAACACCAGUGGCGAAGGCGGCUUUCUGGACUGAUACUGACACUGAGGCGCGAAAGCUAGGGGAGC
rnacentral:rRNA from 1 species